UCAGAAAGUAAUAUAAUUUCAUAAAAUAAUAAUCAAAAGUCCUUACAAAAUGAAUUGAGCUACAUAUUUAUAGUCUUUACAUGGGAUAGCCGAAUAGGCAGCUAAGGGUGUUGAAUGGACAGCACAUUAAAGCUAAAGGAGCUAGAAAUUUCCUUAAAGUUUCUUAGAACAUCCUUGGGAAGCUUCUUAGGUUGGAAGACACAAAUGGACAGCUUCUAAAUGAUGAUCAUUCAUCUAGACAUUAAUUGAAAUGGUGGAGAGCUGAAUAGCUUUGCCUAUGUUCGGCCAAGGAGACUAAAUGCUCUUUAAUUGAGCUGCUUUGUGGAGCUAAAUGGUCUUGAGUUUAAUGAGCAGCUUACGGCAUUUCAAUUGUCCUUCUAGUGUGAAAAUCGAAUGUGAUCAGUCCUUACAUGUGAAUGCACAAAACGAAAAGGCCAUUCCAUGUGAAAAGGAUUUUCAGCAAUGUGAAAGCUUAAAAUGCUGCUUUGAAGAGCUGGACGGUCAGCUUUGAAGAAAGUAAACAUCAGCUCUUUUGGCCAUUGGUGUCACCAAAGAGUUGCUGAUUAAUAGCAAUCAAGGGCUGUCCAUAUCCAUGCCGUCCUAUACAUGUACCUAUACACAUUUAAUUGAACAAUUUAAUUAGUUUAGGACAUCAUAAAUUCGGCUGGAACAAAGACAAACUAAAUGACUUAGAUUCGACUAGACACAAUAAAUAACAGCAGCUAAUAAAUUUGUCUUAAACUUAACAUAUUAAAAUUAUCUAUUAAUUAUGUAUGAACUUGAGAGACAUUUAAACUUAAUUAAUAUGUCCAGAAUUGGACACAUAUAUUUGAUCUUAACUAUUUAAACUAGCUUAAUUAAAUGACUAAAUUUAUUUAAAUAGCUUAGACGCAUGAAAAUAGAAAUCAAACUAAAUAAGCUAGAUGCAAGUCGAUGUGAGCUCCAUUGAGCUAAGUUGAGCUAAAUCAGCUUGCAAGAGGUUGCAAACUAAGCUUGGUGAUCUGGUCCACGAAUGAUCCAUGAAUCCAACCAACUCCUCUCUUUAAGUUCGAUCAAUGUAGUUGGAUAUAGCUUCUUGGAACUUCUUAGCUUGAGCUCGGGUGAUUGAUCCCAAAGGCAGCUCUAUAGGGUCGGCAACUAGAUCCUUGGCUAAGCUCGCAUUAGAUGAGGGAAAUUUUCCAGAUUCUCGGAGACUUAGAGGGAAAGAAGUUGCAAUUGGAAAUUUUCGUAAGAAGGAUUUUGACUUCCAGCAUAAUGGUCAAGCUGUUUCAAAUAAAA
rnacentral:lncRNA from 1 species